AUACGAACUGUGCAAACGUUAUUCGGAAUCACUGGGCUUAAAGGGUGCGUAGGCGGACUUGAAGGUCCGAUGUGAAAUCCCACGGCUCAACCGUGGAAUUGCGUCGGAAACCACAAGUCUUGAGGGAGUCAGAGGUAAGCGGAACUGAUGGUGGAGCGGUGAAAUGCGUUGAUAUCAUCAGGAACACCGGUGGCGAAAGCGGCUUACUGGGACUUUUCUGACGCUGAGGCACGAAAGCUAGGGGAGCGAACGGGAUUAGAAACCCGAGUAGUCC
rnacentral:rRNA from 1 species